AGUGGAUGGGGAGCAACCUAGUUGUGCGUGUGUAAAGGUAGUGCCAAGAAAAGCGAUGAUCAUGUUGAAAAUCAAUUCCCGGUACCCGAAACCGACACAGGUGGGCAAGUAGAGAAUACUAAGGGGCGCGAGGUAACUCUCUCCAAGGAACUCGGCAAAAUGACCCCGUAACUUAGGGAGAAGGGGUGCCACCGAGAGGUGGUCGCAGUGAAGAGGCCCAGGCGACUGUUUAGCAAAAACAUAGGUCUCUGCAAACUCGAAAGAGGAGGUAUAGGGGCUGACGCCUGCCCAGUGCCGGAAGGUUAAAGAAGUUGGUCAGUCUUAGGAUGAAGCUAGCGACUGAAGCCCCGGUGAACGGCGGCCGUAACUAUAACGGUCCUAAGGUAGCGAAAUUCCUUGUCGGGUAAGUUCCGACCCGCACGAAAGGCGUAACGAUCUGGGCGCUGUCUCGGAGAGAGGCUCGGCGAAAUAGGAUUGUCUGUGAAGAUACGGACUACCUGCAUUUGGACAGAAAGACCCUAUGAAGCUUUACUAUAGCUUGGAAUUGUGUUCGGGCUUCCUGUGCGCAGGAUAGGUGGGAGGCGUAGAAGGUAUUCUUGUGGGGAUACUGGAGCCAACGGUGAGAUACCACUCUCAGGAGGCUAGAAUUCUAACUUAAUUAAGGACAGUUUCAGGUGGGUAGUUUGACUGGGGCGGUCGCCUCCAAAAAGGUAACGGAGGCGUACAAAGGUUCCCUCAGACUGGUUGGAAAUCAGUCGAAGAGUGCAAAGGCAGAAGGGAGCUUGACUGCGAGAAGUACAGUUCGAGCAGGGUGGAAACACGGUCUUAGUGAUCCGACGGUGCUGUGUGGAAGGGCCGUCGCUCAACGGAUAAAAGUUACUCUAGGAUAACAGGCUGAUCUCCCCCAAGAGUUCACAUCGACGGGGAGGUUUGGCACCUCGAUGUCGGCUCAUCGCAACCUGGGGCGGAAGUACGUCCCAAGGGUUGGGCUGUUCGCCCAUUAAAGCGGUACGUGAGCUGGGUUCAGAACGUCGUGAGACAGUUCGGUCCAUAUCCGAUGUAGGCGUGAGAAUAUUGAGAGGAGCCUUCCUUAGUACGAGAGGACCGGGAAGGACGCACCGCUGGUGUACCUGUUAUGAUGCCAAUUGUAAACGCAGGGUAGCCAAGUGCGGAGAGGAUAACCGCUGAAAGCAUCUAAGUGGGAAGCCCACCUCAAGAUGAGUAUUCUGGUGUAAGGUCACGGGAAGACGACCCGUAAAUAGGCACGAGGUGGAAGUGCAGAGAUGUAUGAAGCCGAAGUGUACUAAUAGACCGUCGGCUUGACC
rnacentral:rRNA from 1 species